rnacentral:rRNA from 1 species
GAUGAACGCUGGCGGCGUGCCUAAUACAUGCAAGUAGAACGCUGAAGGAGGAGCUUGCUCUUCUGGAUGAGUUGCGAACGGGUGAGUAACGCGUAGGUAACCUGCCUGGUAGCGGGGGAUAACUAUUGGAAACGAUAGCUAAUACCGCAUGACAACAGUUAUUGCAUGAUAACUGUUUAAAAGGGGCAACUGCUCCACUACCAGAUGGACCUGCGCUGUAUUAGCUAGUUGGUGAGGUAACGGCUCACCAAGGCGACGAUACAUAGCCGACCUGAGAGGGUGAUCGGCCACACUGGGACUGAGACACGGCCCAGACUCCUACGGGAGGCAGCAGUAGGGAAUCUUCGGCAAUGGACGGAAGUCUGACCGAGCAACGCCGCGUGAGUGAAGAAGGUUUUCGGAUCGUAAAGCUCUGUUGUAAGAGAAGAACGAGUGUGAGAGUGGAAAGUUCACACUGUGACGGUAUCUUACCAGAAGGGGACGGCUAACUACG